rnacentral:rRNA from 1 species
GACAGAGGGUGCAAACGUUUGUUCGGAAUUACUGGGCGUAAAGCGCGUGUAGGCGGCUCGGCAAGUCGGGUGUGAAAGCCCUGGGCUUAACCUAGGAAGUGCACUCGAAACUGCCAAGCUUGAGUUCUGGAGAGGAAGGCGGAAUUCUCGGUGUAGAGGUGAAAUUCGUAGAUAUCGAGAGGAACACCGGUGGCGAAGGCGGCCUUCUGGACAAAAACUGACGCUGAGACGCGAAAGCGUGGGGAGCAAACAGGAUUAAGAA